rnacentral:rRNA from 1 species
CCUACGGGUGGCAGCAGUGAGGAAUAUUGGUCAAUGGGCGCGAGCCUGACCCAGCCAAGUAGCGUGAAGGAUGACUGCCCUACGGGUUGUAAACUUCUUUUAUAAAGGAAUAAAGUGAGGCACGUGUGCCUUUUUGUCUGUACUUUAUGAAUAAGGAUCGGCUAACUCCGUGCCAGCAGCCGCGGUAAUACGGAGGAUCCGAGCGUUAUCCGGAUUUAUUGGGUGUAAAGGGAGCGUAGAUGGGUUGUUAAGUCAGUUGUGAAAGUUUGCGGCUCAACCGUAAAAUUGCAAUUGAAACUGGCAGUCUUGAGUACAGGUGAGGUAGGCGGAAUUCGUGGUGUAGCGGUGAAAUGCUUAGAUAUCACGAAGAACACCGAUUGCGAAGGCAGCUGACUAAACUGCCACUGACAUUGAGGCUCGAAAGUGUGGGGAUCAAACAGGAUUAGAUACCCCAGUAGUC